GGGGGGGGAGGGCUACCAUGCAGUCGAACGGUAACAGGAAACAAGCUUGCUUCUUCGCUGACGAGUGGCGGACGGGUGAGUAAUGUCUGGGAAACUGCCUGAUGGAGGGGGAUAACUACUGGAAACGGUAGCUAAUACCGCAUAACGUCGCAAGACCAAAGAGGGGGACCUUCGGGCCUCUUGCCAUCGGAUGUGCCCAGAUGGGAUUAGCUAGUAGGUGGGGUAACGGCUCACCUAGGCGACGAUCCCUAGCUGGUCUGAGAGGAUGACCAGCCACACUGGAACUGAGACACGGUCCAGACUCCUACGGGAGGCAGCAGUGGGGAAUAUUGCACAAUGGGCGCAAGCCUGAUGCAGCCAUGCCGCGUGUAUGAAGAAGGCCUUCGGGUUGUAAAGUACUUUCAGCGGGGAGGAAGGGAGUAAAGUUAAUACCUUUGCUCAUUGACGUUACCCGCAGAAGAAGCACCGGCUAACUCCGUGCCAGCAGCCGCGGUAAUACGGAGGGUGCAAGCGUUAAUCGGAAUUACUGGGCGUAAAGCGCACGCAGGCGGUUUGUUAAGUCAGAUGUGAAAUCCCCGGGCUCAACCUGGGAACUGCAUC
rnacentral:rRNA from 1 species